AACGAACGCUGGCGGCAGGCCUAACACAUGCAAGUCGAGCGCGCCCUUCGGGGUGAGCGGCGGACGGGUUAGUAACGCGUGGGAACAUACCCUUCUCUAAGGAAUAGUCUCGGGAAACUGAGGGUAAUACCUUAUACGCCCUUCGGGGGAAAGAUUUAUCGGAGAUGGAUUGGCCCGCGUUAGAUUAGAUAGUUGGUGGGGUAAUGGCCUACCAAGUCUACGAUCUAUAGCUGGUUUUAGAGGAUGAUCAGCAACACUGGGACUGAGACACGGCCCAG
rnacentral:rRNA from 1 species